GACGAACGCUGGCGGCGUGCUUAACACAUGCAAGUCGAACGGUGAAGGGGAGCUUGCUCCCUGGAUCAGUGGCGAACGGGUGAGUAACACGUGGGCAACCUGCCCCUGACUUCGGGAUAACGCUUCGAAGGAGGUGCUAAUACCGGAUAUGAACCCUGAGGGCAUCCUCGGGGUUGGAAAGUUCUUCGGUGAGGGAUGGGUCCGCGGCCUAUCAGGUUGUUGGUGAGGUAGUGGCUCACCAAGGCGCCGACGGGUAGCCGGCCUGGGAGGGCGACCGGCCACACUGGGACUGAGACACGGCCCAGACUCCUACGGGAGGCAGCAGUGGGGAAUAUUGCGCAAUGGGCGAAAGCCUGACGCAGCAACGCCGCGUGAGGGAUGAAGGCCUUCGGGUUGUAAACCUCUUUCAGCAGGGAAGAAGCGAAAGUGACGGUACCUGCAGAAGAAGCACCGGCUAACUACGUGCCAGCAGCCGCCGCUGUAA
rnacentral:rRNA from 1 species